AGCAUAUCAAUAAGCGGAGGAAAAGAAACCAACAGGGAUUGCCCUAGUAACGGCGAGUGAAGCGGCAACAGCUCAAAUUUGAAAUCUGGCUCUCUUUGGGGGUCCGAGUUGUAAUUUGCAGAGGAUGCUUUGGCAUUGGCGGCGGUCUAAGUUCCUUGGAACAGGACAUCACAGAGGGUGAGAAUCCCGUACGUGGUCGCCUGCCUUUGCCGUGUAAAGCUCCUUCGACGAGUCGAGUUGUUUGGGAAUGCAGCUCUAAAUGGGAGGUAAAUUUCUUCUAAAGCUAAAUACCGGCCAGAGACCGAUAGCGCACAAGUAGAGUGAUCGAAAGAUGAAAAGUACUUUGGAAAGAGAGUCAAAAAGCACGUGAAAUUGUUGAAAGGGAAGCGCUUGCAGCCAGACUUGCCCGCAGUUGCUCACCUAGGCUUUGGCCUGGGGCACUCUUCUGCGGGCAGGCCAGCAUCAGUUUGGGCGGUUGGAUAAAGGCCUCUGUCACGUAUCUUCCUUCGGGAUGACCUUAUAGGGGAGGCGUAAUGCAACCAGCCCGGACUGAGGUCCGCGCAUCUGCUAGGAUGCUGGCGUAAUGGCUGUAAGCGGCCCGUCUUGAAACACGGACCAAGGAGUCUAACAUCUAUGCGAGUGUUUGGGUGUCAAGCCCGGGCGCGCAAUGAAAGUGAACGGAGGUGGGAACCCUUUGGGUGCACCAUCGACCGAUCCUGAUGUCUUCGGAUGGAUUUGAGUAAGAGCAUAGCUGUUGGGACCCGAAAGAUGGUGAACUAUGCUUGAAUAGGGUGAAGCCAGAGGAAACUCUGGUGGAGGCUCGCAGCGGUUCUGACGUGCAAAUCGAUCGUCAAAUUUGGGCAUAGGGGCGAAAGACUAAUCGAACCAUCUAGUAGCU
rnacentral:rRNA from 1 species